GCAGAUAGUAACGUUAUUCUAAAUAUGAUUGUAAUUUAUUUUGCAGCAUUCACUGUUAAUUUCAAUGUGAUCAUAUGUGUCACCAAUGACCAGAAUGACGCUUUGCUGUGCUCUCUGAGUCAGUUGCUGAUCUGUACCCACGGCAACAUCACUAACAAGAUAGAUACACCAUGCUCAGCACGGAAGGAAAUGGGAAAUGACAAUAAUCACGUUCCCAUUUGGAGAAUGUAG
rnacentral:lncRNA from 1 species